rnacentral:rRNA from 1 species
AAGUUGAUUCUGCGCUGCUAUACAUGCAGUCGAGCGGACAGAUGGGAGCUUGCUCCUAGAUAGUAGCGGCGGACGGGUGAGUAACACGUGGGUAACCUGCCUGUAAGACUGGGAUAACUCCGGGAAACCGGGGCUAAUACCGGAUGGUUGUUUGAACCGCAUGGUUCAGACAUAAAAGGUGGCUUCGGCUACCACUUACAGAUGGACCCGCGGCGCAUUAGCUAGUUGGUGAGGUAACGGCUCACCAAGGCGACGAUGCGUAGCCGACCUGAGAGGGUGAUCGGCCACACUGGGACUGAGACACGGCCCAGACUCCUACGGGAGGCAGCAGUAGGGAAUCUUCCGCAAUGGACGAAAGUCUGACGGAGCAACGCCGCGUGAGUGAUGAAGGUUUUCGGAUCGUAAAGCUCUGUUGUUAGGGAAGAACAAGUGCCGUUCAAAUAGGGCGGCACCUUGACGGUACCUAACCAGAAAGCCACGGCUAACUACGUGCCAGCAGCCGCGGUAAUACUAGUGGCAAGCGUUGUCCGGAAUUAUUGGGCGUAAGGGCUCGCGGCGGUUUCUUAAGUCUGAUGUGAAAGCCCCCGGCUCAACCGGGGAGGGUCAUUGGAAACUGGGGAACUUGAGUGCAGAAGAGGAGAGUGGAAUUCCACGUGUAGCGGUGAAAUGCGUAGAGAUGUGGAGGAACACCAGUGGCGAAGGCGACUCUCUGGUCUGUAACUGACGCUCAGGAGCGAAAGCGUGGGGGAGCGGACAGGAUUAGAUCCCCUGGUAGUCCACGCGUAAACGAUGAGUGCUAAGUGUUAGGGGGUUUC